rnacentral:tRNA from 1 species
UCCUUUUUUGGGUUGCUAACUCAACGGUAGAGUACUCGGCUUUUAACGACUAGUUCCGGGUUCGAAUCCCGGGCAACCCA